rnacentral:rRNA from 1 species
CGGAGGCAGCAGUGAGGAAUUUUGCGCAAUGGGCGAAAGCCUGACGCAGCAACGCCGCGUGGAGGAUGAAGUUUUUCGGAAUGUAAACUCCUGUCAAGAGGGAAGAAACGCCGAUUGGUCGGCCUGACGGUACCUCUUGAGGAAGCCACGGCUAACUUCGUGCCAGCAGCCGCGGUAAUACGAGGGUGGCAAGUGUUGUUCGGAUUUACUGGGUGUAAAGGGAGCGCAGGUGGUCUUAUAAGUCAGAGGUGAAAAGCCCAUGCUUAACAUGGGUCCUGCCUUUGAAACUGCAAGACUUGAGUGUCGGAGAGGGUAAUGGAAUUCCAGGUGUAGCGGUGGAAUGCGUAGAUAUCUGGAAGAACACCAGUUGCGAAGGCGGUUACCUGGCCGAACACUGACGCUCAUGCUCGAAAGCCGGGGGAGCAAACAGGAUUAGAUACCCUGGU